rnacentral:rRNA from 1 species
CCCCAGACUCCUACGGGAGGCAGCAGUGGGGAAUAUUGGGCAAUGGGCGCAAGCCUGACCCAGCAACGCCGCGUGAAGGAAGAAGGCUUUCGGGUUGUAAACUUCUUUUGACAGGGAAGAGUAGAAGACGGUACCUGUCGAAUAAGCCACGGCUAACUACGUGCCAGCAGCCGCGGUAAUACGUAGGGGGCAAGCGUUAUCCGGAUUUACUGGGUGUAAAGGGAGCGUAGGCGGCAGUGCAAGUCAGAAGUGAAAGCCCGGGGCUCAACUCCGGGACUGCUUUUGAAACUGUACAGCUUGAUUGCAGGAGAGGCAAGUGGAAUUCCUAGUGUAGCGGUGAAAUGCGUAGAUAUUAGGAGGAACACCAGUGGCGAAGGCGGCUUGCUGGACUGUAAAUGACGCUGAGGCUCGAAAGCGUGGGGAGCAAACAGGAUUAGAUACCCUUGUA